GGCCACUCCGCAAGGGGUGAGUCGAGCGGCGAACGGGUGAGUAACGCGUGGAUUAUCUGCCCUGAGGUGGGGGAUAACCCGGGGAAACUCGGGCUAAUACCGCAUGAUACCGAGAGGUCAAAGGGGGCUCGCAAGGGCUCUCGCCAUAGGAGGAGUCCGCGUCCGAUUAGCUAGUUGGUAGGGUAAUGGCCUACCAAGGGAGAGAUCGGUAGCCGGCCUGAGAGGGUGAUCGGCCACACUUAAUCCCCGACACGGUGCAGNCUCCUACNGUAGGUCGNAUUGGNUGAUUCUAGAAGUCUCCUGCAAAUA
rnacentral:sRNA from 1 species